UGCAGAGAUAAAAAUGGCUCUUGCUGCUCUGGCGCAGUGGCAACCACUGCAAAGCAAAGUGCUCCCCUGAGAUGUGAAACUCAGCAGUUUCCCACUGAGUGCUGGACCAGCUGUGGAAGAAGGAAGAAUAAAAGGUGAUAUGAGUUAGAUUUAUGCUGAUGUAUGAGAUUUUCAGGGACAUGUAAACCAGGAGAAACCUAGCAAUCUGAGCCCAGCUGGAAAACUGUAGGAGAAAGUUAUUGGGAAACAGAGACCUGAGUCCCGGUUGUUCUGCACAUUACUGCCAUUUGCAGUUGCAACACCAGCAUAAUAUUGCAUCUUCUCACCAGUGAAGGGGCUGGAUUUGCCUACUAGCCCAAAGGCAAGAAAAAAAUAAAGAACCUCUCUCUGGCUAAA